rnacentral:lncRNA from 1 species
GGGACCUGGCACAAGGAAGGUGUGGCAGGGAGUGAGAGGCCCACAAAUUGCUGUUGGACGAUUGAAUGGCAGGCUGCUGAACAGACUCAGCUUCCAUCAAAACUGAUCUCGGCAGAUUUCUCUAGAAGGAUUUCUAGGUCGGCCCUGAAGACCCAAGGGGUGCCCCCACACAGGGGGCAGCUAGGCAGGCAGGUGAGAAGGGUUCAUCCAGUAAAAGAGCAGUCUCCUUAGUGUACUGACAUGCAUAACACUGGGAAAGUUACCUAAUGCCACUGGUAACAAGACCAAACAUCAACAGGCUUUCAAGAGACCAGAUGUCAGCCAAAAGCGGGAAACCCCAGAACUCCCAACUGCACAAGGGCAGAGCGGGAAACAUGUGGCCAGACAGCCAUUCAUAAGGCAGAAGAGCUGAGGUAUUAAGCUGAGCACAAGCCCUGCGUGAGGCCACAGUGACUGGCUACAGCGGGACAGUGGAGCGCCCCACAGGCACAGCAGAAGAGAAGCCUCGGUGUGGUGCUGGAUCCUGUGCAGGCUGAUGGGUCACAAGUCUACUCGGGGUGGUCCUAUGAUGGAUUGAGCUCGCAGGGUGUCAUCUGGGAGUGUUCAGGGAGAGCUGGAUACCCCAAGGGUCAUCCAGGCUCUGACAGCCUAAGACCAUGCAAAUCCUGGCCUGGGCCCCCCUGGAGGGGGGCACUGCAGUCAGUCCUGGAGACACACAUUGACACUUUGCCGCCAAAGACCUUUAUUGAGUCCCUGGUCCUUCUCAGGGACCACGUCCAGGGGUCCGGGCACAGCAACAAUCCAGGCAUCACCUUUCCCUGGCUCGGGCUCCUCCUGGGGGAGAUGGGAGGGCAGCCCUUACACCUGGCACCCCUGAGAGCCAUACACCUCAAGGAAGUCAUUGAGCUGGGCGCAGGCUUCCCGAUGGCGGGUGCUCCGGCACAGGCGUUCAGAGGGCAUCUCCUCAACCCAGCUAUUCGAGUCCAGCAGGUACUGGGGGCUGUAGGGGCAAAGGGACGGUCAGCAGGGGUGGGGAGGAUAAGCUGGUGGGAGAGGAGAGCAUGAAGCGCCUGGCUUCUGUGGGGGCAGGGUCUGGGUGCUGGGGAUCUGUUCCCUCACGAGGUGUGAGGAGAGCAAGAGACAGAGGGGCCCGGAGAACUCACUCUCCCUUGAGGUCAUAGGUAGCCCCGUCCAGACCCAGGAUCAAAUAUUCUUUCCCAGGUUCCAAGCGAAGGCGGCAGGAGGCUCGAACCAGGAAGUUUCGGGUCUGACCAGCAGUGGCCUUGGUGUCCUUGGCUGAGAGGAUAAUGUGCAUGAGGGUUGUCAGAGGAGAAGAGAAGGUACAGGACAAGCAGGGACCAGGGGCUAUGCACGGACCCGUUCAUUUUGCCCUCACUGUGCCUAAUGGGGAGAUACAACUGCUUUCCUAUUUAUGGACAAGCCCAGAGCUUCUAAGAUGCUGAGGGGCUUUGAGCUCAGACUCUGAACUUGAGCUAUUCCAAGCAGCCAGGCCGCAAACCCUGACCUCAGCUCCCUAGAUCCCCCCAGCCCCACCCGCCCAACUAUUCCCUUCAUACUGAAGUGCAGGACUUGGCUGAUUCUGGUCUCGAAGAGGCGAAAGGCAGCUCUGCCAUCUUCUCGGAGGACCUUAACCUGGAAGCCUACAAGGGAGUUCAAGAGACGGGAGCACAGGUUUGUCCCACCUGAGGCCGAGAGGAGCAGGCCCAGGCAGAGAGGCCUUGGGUGCGAGGGAAGACUGACCGUACUGCACUCGGGGGUAGUAGCAGGCAAACUUCAUUCUGUACCCGGCCUCUUCCUGCAGGCCCCGCUCCAGGGCACGACGCUGUCGAGGACACUUCCCUGGUGUCAGGGGGCCCAGAUGAGACAGUGUAGGCCCCAGCCUCGCUGUCUUCCCACCCCCUGCCCCAGGCCCUGGCUCUCACCCUCAGCACACUGGCAGACGUCAGCAGAGCACAAUGUGGACAAGAGUUUGCUCUUAGUGGGUGCCCCAUAGAAGAUAGAACAUUUGUGCUCUGGAGAAGAGAGAGGGCAGUUAGAAUGUAGGUCCCCCUCACUGCCUCCCCAGUCCCAAGGAGCCACAGGACACCCCUGCCACCCUGCAUUGCCCCAGGUCCCAAUGUCCCAUAUGGGGACACCUACUCCAAACCUCCCAAGUGUCUCCCAAGUCCUCACCGGGGUUGUAGUAAUCAUACAGGGUUGCACUGGCCGGCUGUACUAGCCCCACGGCCACCUCCUGCACAGCUCCAAAGCCCACGCACUCCCGGGAGGUGGGGACCUGGCACAGUGGGGAGGAGCGGUCAGGGGCGCACACCCUGGACCCUGAAGGCCACUGUGCUGCAUAUCCUUGACCUGUCUCUGGUACUCGUUGGUCUUAUCUCCAGUGUCCAUCACAUUCUAUUACCUUCCGGCUGCCAGAACUCUAAGAACUGCUCCCCAAGGUCUCUGCUGACCUCACUGCCAAACAGUGACCUCAUUCCAGUCUCCAGUGCCCCUGGCCCCUUGGCAGAGUCCCACAUAAUGGACAUAUUCUGCAUGAAACUCUCCAAGCUUAAGGUUAGUUUUUAAGGUUUUUAAGGUCAUCCCUGGUUCUGAGCUCGCCAUUCCUGACCAUCCCUCUUCUUCCUUCCCAGAGGCGCAUUCCCUGGCCCUGGCUCCCCCUGUCCCCUGCACUUCCCUGAGGAGGUCUCAGCCACUCCCUGGCUUUCACCAAACCCUUCCGGGCUGAUGAUUCCCACACUAAACAUUCAGCCUCAUUCUUGCAUUAGGAUUUUUGUGGGACCUAUAAGUUCUCCAAAUUCACUCUGCCUGCCCCCGAAGCCUACCCACACUCCUGACAGCCUUGCUUCCUCACCGAUGCAACUGGGCCCUCCUUUAUCUGUCACCCUAACGGCAGCUGCUGUCACUCUCCCAUGCUCCAUGACUCUGCAGCUCACAGCUUAGACCCAGACUCCUCUCCUCACGCACACACUGGUCCAGUUCAGCCCCUACCCUGCCCCUUUCCCUCUUGCGCUGGGCUGCCUAGGUCAACUCCUUGCCUAGAAAUCUUCCUGGCUCCUCAUCUUCGAUGGUGUUCAACCAAACUCCUCUGCCUGGCUUCCCAGGCUAACAAGGUCUGUCUUCCCUGACCCACACACACCUGGCUAAUGGUGUUACAGUAUCGACACAGCU